GCUCAUUUUGCAUGUAUAUUAUUAUUUUCUCCCUCUGACUUUAAGCAUAUAUAUAUUUUUACACAUUUUCUAAGUUGUACCUUGGCAUAAAUUAAAUACAUAUAGAAUAAUUUCAAACCUUCUCAGUCUAGUAUACUUGUUCUGUAUCCAUUCCAUAUUGUUCAUUUGCAUACAGGAAACUUUUGUACACAUCAACUCGUUGAAGUGAAGAAAAGUGUGAAUCUGAAAGAAAAACUAACUAACGAGGAAUCUUACAAAAACAAUACAUUUUAAAAUAUGACACAAAAGUAGCAAAUAGUAUCAUGAAUGCAUCCAAUUAUAUUUAGUAGCAGAACUCAACCACCUUUAGCUCAAAAUUUAUAAGAAUUCCUUUGUAAAUAAUAUAUUCUCAUACAGUACUUUAAAUGAUUAACAACGUAAAGAGCAGAAGAACAAUUUUUCAUGUCCACAUAAAUUUUGAAAAUGCAGUAACAAUCAGAAUUAUAUGUAGCAUAUUUGAAGGACGUAUGGCAGCAGCAGAAGGCUGGAAUUUAGUUAGUAGACCUUGUAUUUCAUAGCUUAGAAGAUAUACUUUCAAAGAAAGGUACACAGAUUGGGGAAGCCAUUACAGAGGUGUUCAAGUUUUCUUAGUAUUUUGUCACAUUCUCUUUUCUUCGAACAUAAGUGAGCAAUUGCCCAACCUUACUACCAACUCCAUAAAAAUUGAAAAAGCAAGAUUAGCAAAAUUAUCACAUUGCCACAAACAAGUAGAAGGAGCUCCAGAUAUAAGGGUGUUCAAAGUACUUUCAACCACACAUAACAAUAAUCUACCCCGUCCGUAAACAAGGAAUAUAAAGCAAAAUAGGAUUCAACUUUUCAAAACACCAAUAGAAUAAAAGGCUUAAAAAUAGAUUGCAAUUAUAAUUGUAGUAUUUCCAUUGGAAUUAUACCUUGCCAAUGCAGGAGGCUCCCUUGAUGAUGAUAUUUAUUUUUUUACGUGAUCACACAACACCAUCUAAGAUUUUUUAAGAAGAGUGUUAUGAACAUUCCAUCAAAAGCAAGGUUUUUGUGCAUGCUGCAUUUUUCAACCAACUACCAGAAUAUUCAAACAUAGCAUUGAAGAGCUUAGAUGGAAUUUCUCCGAUCAAUAUUAG
rnacentral:lncRNA from 1 species